rnacentral:lncRNA from 1 species
GGCUGUGCUGCGUCUCUGGGGAGGAAGACAGGCAAACUCCGCGAAACAUUUUCGCUCUGUGGAAAAACUUGGAGGCUAUGGCUUUGGCUCUCACGUGUAGGUGGAAGUGUUUGUUGAGGACUUAGAGUGGUAAAGCAGGUAGCUGCAAUUCCGUCUGCUUGGCCCCGUCGAUGCGUCCUUGAACACGUUAUUUAACCCCUCUAUACUGCGGCUUCAUUACCCAUAAAAUGGGUGUACAGUAAUAAUAGGUCUACCUAAUGGCGUUACGAGGAUUACAGGAGAUUAGAUAAAGCGUUUAGCAGUGU